rnacentral:rRNA from 1 species
GACGAACGCUGGCGGCGUGCUUAACACAUGCAAGUCGAACGGAAAGGCCCUGCUUUUGUGGGGUGCUCGAGUGGCGAACGGGUGAGUAACACGUGAGUAACCUGCCCUUGACUUUGGGAUAACUUCAGGAAACUGGGGCUAAUACCGGAUAGGAGCUCUUGCUGCAUGGUGGGGGUUGGAAAGUUUCGGCGGUUGGGGAUGGACUCGCGGCUUAUCAGCUUGUUGGUGGGGUAGUGGCUUACCAAGGCUUUGACGGGUAGCCGGCCUGAGAGGGUGACCGGCCACAUUGGGACUGAGAGACGGACCAGACGGGUACGGGAGGCAGCAGUGGGGAAUAUUGCACAAUGGGGGGAAGCCUGAUGUAGCAACGCCGGGUGCGGGAUGACGGCCUUCGGGUUGUAAACCGCUUUCGCAUGUGACGAAGCGUGAGUGACGGUAAUGGGUAAAGAAGCACCGGCUAACUACGUG